GGUUCUAUGGUCUAGUCGGUUAUGACGGGUGCUUCACAUCUUGAAUGCGUACGCACCAGGUUCCCGGUUCGAUCCCGGGUGGAAUCA